GUCCCCAUCGUCUAGAGGCCUAGGACACCGCCCUUUCACGGCGGCAGCACGGGUUCGAAUCCCGUUGGGGAUA
rnacentral:tRNA from 2 species